rnacentral:lncRNA from 10 species
GUGCAACACAGGAAGUGUCACAUCAUCCUGUUCCUCUAAUGGAGGCUUCUCAGUCAGAUCCACACUGGAGAUUCCUUUAAAGAUAACAGUGAACUGAGUGAAUACUUACUUGCUGGCGUGGGAGAGAAAAUUGCAUGCAGAAGUUGGAAAACUCAGGACAGAAAACUCCAGGAUAAGUCGGGAGUCAGCGAUAUGGAGUAAAUCCAUCACUAGGAGAACACCUUUCUCUUCCAGAAUUGCUGAUGAAUCAUUAGGUAAAGCCGGGGCCACCGGCAGAGUGGCCUUCUGGCAGAUGGCUGGGGCUUGGGAAAUGCACAUCUUCUCUCGGCUCAGCUAUGUGGUUCUUCUUUCUUCAAGAAGCCAAAGUACUGGGUGUACCCCACAAAGUCACAACUGGGCACAGACGGGAAAGGCUGGCUGUCAGCACCUUGCUGGCCAUGGUCGUGGACCCCAGAGUGAGCUGACAAAGCAGUCAGUCCAAGCAUGGCUGCAGGAGCGCCAGAAGGCGCUGGGUGCUAACACUUAGGAGGCAGCAUGGACAGUGGAGGGCUAUAGAGGAGGCCCCACAUGAGGGACAGAAUGAGGGUCCACUGGCUGCCUGCACUGCCUGAUGCUCCUGCUAUGGCGGCAGAAGGCCAGGCCCCUAGCAGGGCUGCUGCUGUGUGGAUUCUGAUGCCACUAAUGACUUAUCGUGCAUCUGGGCCUCUGACUCUGGGUGCCUCUUAGGGCUGAGAUAAGGAUGAGGGGAGAGAACAAAUGGGAAAUGCCCAGGCUCACUCUCAGCACCAAGUGGUCUGUGCAGCCCAGGAGCCUGGAGGCAAGCCCUCGCAGGAGCCCAAGGGAUCCAAACUGAAGCACUGUUUUCUGACAUCUAGUAUUUAAACCUAACAUUUUGCAUGAAUUUAUUUUCCACCACACGCUUGUAUGAAUAAAAACAGAUGACUUCCCCUCCUAAUUAAGCAGAACUGACAUGUACUGGUGGCUCCUGGCCCAUGGCCCACACUGAGGAGGAACAACAAUAACGUUAGCAUGAAAGGUGAUAAUUGGUCCUUUUAGAAAGCUGUGGAAGUGGGCACUGGAAGACGUGUUUGCCUCAGCUGCAGAUGGGUGCGACAUAUCAAGGGAGCCCUCCUGGCCCGUCCUGCCCUGUACCAAGUUUCACCUGAUGCUCACUCUCCCACAUCUUCUGCUUCAGGAAAGCCCAGCAUGCCUCGGUCUGGGAAGGCAGCCUAUUAUUCCAGCCCCAUAACCUCUCCUCUUGCCACUCCAUGUCCCCACCCACUCCCACCUGGACACUUACAGGACUCCAGCACUGCCUCCUCCAAGAAGCCUUCCUGGACUCCGUCAGCCCACAUUGGGCUUGUUAACACUGAUUAUCUGAAAAAUUUGGGGUAUCACCUCAUGACAUGCUGUGCUAUAUUCCAUCACCACCUUGCCCAAGACUCACAAGCAGCAGGUGACAGUCCAGAUUCAAAUCUGGGUGUGCCUGGCUGAGCACCCAUGGCUUCUCUGCAGACUUAGCCCCAGCUGCAGCCCCCUGUCUGCCCCAUCUGUUUCAUCAUCUCCUCACCCAGUUUCUGGGUGCUCCUGAUAAUGUUCUGUUUGUUAGGCUGGGCCCUGAGAAGGUACCCAGAAAGCCUUAAGCAUUCAUGGAAAUGAGCCCACAGGCUGUGUGAUCCAGCAGACAAGCUGAUCGAGCACGAGAGUGGUCCACAAGAGCAGCCGUGGCACAGCCAGGCUUUAACCUCCUUGUGCUUGGGCUCGUGCUCCGCUGAACCAUGGAAGUCUUGUGAUAGAGUAAGGACCGGCUGGUGUGGGAGGCAAGAGGAGGAUGGGUACACAUGUUGCCAUUAGUCAGCCUUGUCUUAGCCACCAAAUCGGGCCUCCUUCAUGAGAGAGUCUAAUGUUUUAUGGUUUUCCCUACAAUGUGAGUGCUCAGAAGAGAAAGACUAUUCUAUUAUACUCACGCCCACGUCCAACACGGUGCCUGGAGCACAGUGAAUGCUUACUCCCAGUGUGGGGAUGAGCGGCUGAUGGGCUGGGGAGGGAGAGGGAGCCUGGGGUUCUCUUUCGUCCUAGCUGGGAAUCCUGACCGGCUGCUAGGCCCACUUCAGCAUCUAUAAAACAAGAGAACACUGAGCUGCAGUCAAUGUGGGGCUGCCUGGUUUCCCUUUGCCCUCAGGGGAACAGAUAAUCUGGAGAAGCAAGAAUGAAGAAAGCAGCCUUAUAAACAAACCAGAAGAAUUAAGAGUGAGGACAGCUCUACCCAGCCCGGCUGGCAGCUGGCCACACUGCAAACCUGCUUGUGGGAAAGCUGGUUUUUGGGGUGCAAAAGAAAAAUACUAAAAUCAGCUUUCUGGUGUGGAAACUCAGGCAAGUGCAGGCACAUAUGCUCACCUUGGCUGUUCCCAGAAGUGCCUAAGCUGCCACAUGCUAUCUACCUGUGUCCUGCUGAGCUGCCUGAGCACAGGGACCAUGUUCCAUCGCACAGGUCAUGCAGAUGGGCAGCAGGUGCCAGGAACCCAAGUGGCAGAAGGUAGAGGUGAGAAAGCCCUGAGAAGCUGGCCCUUCAGGGCUCAUAGGGAGCCAUAGACCGUUUCUGUUCCAUGGGGAGUGCGUGUGCUGGGGACUGCGGAGAGGCAGGAGACCCUCCAGGCCCUUCCUUCAAUGCACACCAUCAGUGCUGUCCUUGGAGUUCUGAGGCUCUGGCUGAAAGAAGAUGCAUCGAUCCAGUUUUAAACCACAGCUAAAUAAGCCUGGGGUUAUAAAUUAAAUAUAACCAAGCAAAGUGCCUCCAGAAACUGCCCCAAGCUUGGUUGUGUUUAGAAAGCUUCCCAGCUCCCUCCAGGCCAUGUGGUCUCUCCAGGUUCUGACUGAGGACUGGAGUUGCUGGCUCCGUUUACUUGGUGCCUGUCAUUUUCUGCUUUGUGAUUUAUUUUGUGCUGGCAUCUUCUACAGCUAUUUAACUUUUCAUGAGUGUGCAUGUCUCAUCUUUUUGCCUAUAUUGCAAAAUGCCUCAGGGGUUGAGACUGCACCAUAUGCUUCAGAAUCAGCAUUUGAUCUCUGUUUUGAAAGGUCCUCUUCUCCCAGGGUCUCACUUUGCGGGCGAAGGACCCUGGCCUGAAAGUUCGAAUGAGUCUCCUAGGCUAAAGGAGGUAUGGGGCAGGGCUGGGCUGGAACUCAGCUCUCCCGAGGCUUAGGUUCCCCAGCACUGUUGAAAAGACUGAACUGCUGCUUUUCCAACUAGGUGAGAGGGGCACACCCCUCAAAGUUAUCACGCACAGUGGAUCAUCUUUCCUUCCUUUAUUAAACAAAAUCAUUUUCACUGAUAAUCGUGCAAUAACCAGUAAUGGUUUCUUGAGUCAUUCUUUAGUUUAAGACAAUAAAUUAUUUAAAAAGAAAAACUUUUAAUUUCAAAUAUAUCAUUAAAUUUAAUAAAUUAUUUCAUGUAUGAAAUAAAGUUUGCGCUUACCAAACAAAAGAUA